rnacentral:rRNA from 1 species
AUACGUAGGUGGCGAGCGUUGUCCGGAAUUACUGGGCGUAAAGGGCGUGUAGGCGGGGGGACAAGUCAGAUGUGAAAUACCGCAGCUUAACUGCGGGGUUGCAUCUGAAACUGUUCUUCUUGAGUGUCGGAGAGGAAAGUGGAAUUCCCAGUGUAGCGGUGAAAUGCGUAGAGAUUGGGAGGAACACCAGUGGCGAAGGCGGCUUUCUGGACGACAACUGACGCUGAGGCGCGAAAGCGUGGGGAGCAAACAGGAUUAGAUACCCUGGUAGUCCACGCUGUAAACGAUGGAUACUAGGUGUAGGAGGUAUCGACCCCUUCUGUGCCGGAGUUAACACAAUAAGUAUCCCGCCUGGGGAGUACGGCCGCAAGGUUGAA